GCUCCUGCACAGCUGCACCUUCCACAGGACCAGCCACCGAGGCGCAGGAGCAGGAGGUCUGCCGGAGGAGGGCUCGGCAGGGGAUCUGGCAGUGCUGGGUCUGGGGCGCAGCCACGUGACCUUGACCACAUCACUUCCCCUUUCGGAACCUGGCCCUUUACUCUGAAAUGAGGAGUCUGGGCUGGUGAUUCCUAAGGAAGGAGACAUUCAGGGUUUGCUGAGGCCUUGGCUCCCCCUUGCCACGUUUAAGAGGCCUGCACACAUCAAGGUCAAGAUCUGAAGGCUGGAGUUAGGGGCAUGAAGCUGCGAAGACCUGGGCUUUUGCUUAGUGCCUCCAGUGACUGCCUCUGCUUUCUGGCCUCAUUUCUCCCUUCUCUUGAUCAGCUCAGAAUCCUCAGCCUUCGGGGUGAAGAGACCUUAGUGGCUGAAACAGAAGCCAGUUGGAGGGGGUCAGGAGUGAAUGAAGCAAAGCAGUGUCUCCUCUCCUCCCAGGUCAGAGCCUAGGGUCCCUAGCUUCUCCUCCCUGUCCUCUCCCCCAGUAGGGUGUGUGAAUGGUACCUGCCUGCCCUGCUCCUCUCAGGCCUGUUGCUCAGCCUGCCUGGCUCCCUUUCCAAUCCUAUUUCUACUCCCACCUCGUUUAAAUCUGCCUGACUUCAUUCCUGCCAUCCUGGGAGACUCCAACAGAUGGAAAUAAAGCAAGCAGUCUGGCUCGAGUGGCGGGGGAAUCACCCCCAUCCCUUCCCCAGCCCCCUGGCUAAGACAGGCCGCUGAACAGUAUAUGGUGUUGAGAAUCAGAAGUCAAGUUACUUAUAAUGUCUUGGAGGCGUUAAUUUUCCCAAUCAACAUUUACCAGGUGCCUACAAGGUACCAUGAUUCGAACCAUCUUACCUGUCCCGACUCAUUUAAUCCCUCAGACAGUUCUAUUAUUGGUCCAUUUUAUUUAUGCAGAUUUGGAGGCACAGGGGAGCUGAGGAAGUGGCCAAGUAAGGGCAGAGCUGGGAUUUGAACUUAGAUUGUCCCAUGCCAAAACCACGCGCUUACCACACUGCUGGAUGCUGGGAACAUCCGGGGCAUGGCAAAGUGCUCGGACCUGGGCGGUGCUUGCUCACACCCGGGCUGCCUGCAGAGGCCCCUGUGGGAUGCAGGUCCAUGAACUGGCCCCAUGGCCCAACUCCAGACACCCUCUGUCUAUCACUGAUUUUCCUUUUCCAGCAGAAGCAGAGGGGGAAAAUCAAAACAAUAGGAGAAGCAAGGAGAAAGCCUGAGCCAGCUGGGUUUUUGCUGAGGCCAAUCCUGGCUGCUUCCUCUCCUGCCUGGCUUAGAUGGUGGCAGGAACAGAGAGGAGAAUUUGCCAAGGUUUCCUGCUUGCCUCUUGGUUUUCUCACCCGAAAUGGGAGAUAGUUGGCACCUGCUGCCCCAGGCUCCAAAGGCCACCUCCUGAUUUGCUUCCUUUAGGGCCCCAUCUCCAAACAGGAAAGUUGACUUGGAGCAGUACUCCCUUCCUACCCAGGAAGGGGCCAGCACUGCGGAAGGAGUCAGGUGAUCUGUCCCUAAGGUGUACCUCUGUAAUGCCCCAGCAAAGCGAGGCACCCAGGGAUUGCCAAGUCAAGGUCAGUGGAAGGAAUGGUGAGUUGGGAGAAAAGGGAUGUGGGGUAAGAGAGGAGAGUUGUCCUGAACAGACACAGCAACCCUAGCACGGAGCGGCUCACCUGAGAGUCCCCUCUCUGUGGGGCUAGGCCUGGGGUGCUUCUGGGGCUCCAAAGUUGAGCUUCUUUUCCAUUCUUGGUCACCACCGGUGGUCCAGGCCUGGCGAAGGUACGCAAUUAUGUAUUUCACGUAAUUGUCAAACUGCCCCGAAUAGGCAAGCUAGCCUCCUGCCCUCUCUCCCUGAUCAGAGGGCUGUGUCUGUCCCAUCCCCUGCCUGCAGACAGCUGAAACCGAAAAUAUUCUGGGCAAUCUGAGUGUCUUACAGUGCUCAGAGAAACCCAGCAUAAGGCCUCCCUGGGGAGAGUGGGCCCGGUUAACCACACCGAGAUUCAGGUGGUGGUAUUUGUCCCAUUUUAAGUGGAAAUGAAUUUGACUGCUAAGCCCUACUCCUUUCUAAAUGCAAAGACUUGGAAGCAGUCUCAUCUUCAAAGGAGAUGACACUAAAGUUGGACCUCUGGGGGUCCCUCUGGGCCUGGGAAUUGGAGCCACCAGGUUCCUAAGGUGCUGCUGCCUGUCCCAUGGUGAUCCCUCCCUCUUCCUGUCAUGCUUAGUCAGCGACUCUGACGGUGGGCCAGCCUCAGCCAGCCAAACCCUGGAUGAGGGCACAGGACAUUUGAAGACUACUGCUGUUCUCACCCCACCCCACUCCAGCUAUGUACCCCAAGUACCUCAGAACCAUUGAUAAAUGUUCCCUGUAGUCUUGGAUGGGGAGUGCUUGUUCCCCCCCCCCCUGCCUCUUUCCCCCUUAUCCCCAUUUCUCUAGAAGAGAAACAAGGGGGGCUGGCUUUGGUGAGCCAGGGACUGUGCCCUUGAAGCCCAUGGAGGCCCCAGAGGGCUUGGCUCCCAGUGCAUGGCAGGGAACUGAGUUUCCUGCAGGCCGAGAAGGAGUUAACUUCCAAGGAGAACACAGGCUUCUCCCAGACUGGAGGCCUGUGCCCAGGCAGGAUGCUGCCAACUCCGGGAAGAAGUCCUGGGAUCUGUAGUUUGUACCACCACCCGCCCCUGGCCUGCCUGUUUAUCAACACCUCCGUGUAGACUACAGUUCCCAGAAACCUGCUGAGGCCAGGCUUUGAGGGAAGGGGUGGGGUGUGAGGUUGGGGAUGCAGGAGAGGGAGAGGGAGGAGAUGAGGAGAGAAAACCCAAUUCACCCCCGUCUUUUCAUUCUUUUUCCUGGUGUGUCUGCUCCACCGCCCGAGCUAAUCCCCCAAAUCCGGUCUCCUAAGCUGCAGCUGCUCCCCUUUGCAGUGAUGAAUGGCUCAGGGAGGGAAGAGUUCCUGGCAAGUCCCAACACUUGUGAAUGUCUCCCACCCUUCCACCUUCACUACCGCCCACUUGGAUGGAGGGCAUUGUCGCAAUCUGAGGCCCAGGACGCCUCCCUCAGCUCCUGGCCUCCUUGCCUGAGCUGAUUCUCAGGCUCCUCUGCUGCAGGCUCAGGGGCAGAGAGGUGACCUGAGGGAUGUGUAGGUUCCCCUCAGGGUUAUCAGACCAGACAGCCUGGGGCAGCUAAGGAAGGGCGAGGUCUGUGACAGUGAGACUGCUGGAGGAAGGAGUUUUUCCAGGCUCCACAAGAUCCCGCCUCUGGAUUGUCGGAUGAGACCUGAUGGAGUCCAUGGAACUCCUGCCCGGAACCUGUGUGAGGUGGCACAAGUCAGGACACAAACCAGCUUCCUGUUCCCAACAGCAGGUGUGGGAUGAGAUCUCUGGUGAGCACUGCCCAGCCUGGCCCAGGGCAUGCCCCAGUUCACUUUCGCCUGCUUCUGUGGCCUCCACAGCUUCUGCAAGAGGAAGAGGAAGAAGGAGGAAGUUCCCAGAGAACGAGAAACAGCAGUGUGAGCAGAACCAGGGCCCUUUUGUCAGCUCCCAGCAGGUCACAGGCCCGAGGCCGCCGAGCCUGGGGCAGGAGCCACAAGAGCUUUCUAAGGCUUCUUUUAGCUGGUGCUCAGCUAAAGGGGCCUGACUCUAUCUAACCUGAGGGCAUUGGCCUCCUGUGUGCCUUCCAGGCCUCCUCAUGCCCACACCUCCCUUAGCUUCUGGUCCCAGUCACACAAGGGGGAUCCCAGGGCCUCUCAGUUGCCUUCCAGAGACAAAGAAGCCGCAGGGAGGCCAAGGCCUGAAGCUUUUCACCUGUCCCGGGCUUUUCUCAGGGAAACCACUCCCUCGAGGGACCUCUGCCUUGUGUGAGGAGAGCUGAUUGCUAAACAGGAAACUGGCUGCUCUGGCCGAGAACCUGGAGCACCCCAGACCCUGGAGGAGGCCUCAGGGUUGCAGGUGUGAGAUGGCCAUCUUCAAGCUCAAGAUGGAGUCUCUGCUGGGGCCUCAGGACCUGGAGCAGCCACAGCAUGGGGAAUAAGUCUUUCUCAGCCCCUCCCAGCAUCUUCCCGGGCCAGGUGGGCCAGGCCUGAGGUGAGAGGAGGAGGAGAAUGCUGAGAGGGGCCGGUCUGUCCACAGCCCUGGCCCUGCCCCUGCCCCUGCCCCUGCACCAUGAGGUCUGAGCUUUGUUGGCAGCAGCACAGAAAUGGGGGGCCUGCCCCCAGGUGCUGACUCCCCUUCCUCAGGAACUUUCCCAGAGACCAGGUCGUUGGAAGCCUUACCCAGACUAAACUGUGUCCUUCCCGCCUCACUUCCUGACUCCCUGCCUCACCCCCACCUUCUCUUCUCAGAAGCCAUAGAGGGAGGUGUGCUUGCGUGUGGAGCCUUCAGGGAAACUCCUGGAGUAGGGGACCUCUGGGACUUUGCUGUACUUUUACCUUCCUCUCCCCAUUCCAACAGCUUUCUAAUUUCAGUCUUGCCCGCCCCCCCCCGCCACGCCCUGAGCCCAUUUCCAAGAGGUAGGAAGCAAAUCCCCCCAUCUUGUCAUUGUGCCUGGAGUCCGGCUGCCAGAGGGGCCCUUGGACAGAGCCCUUUAGGCAGGUUCUGUUGCUUCCACAGCAUGUUGUCUUCUGCACAGGGACAGUUGGCACAGGCAUAGUGACACCCCUACCUACCAGCAUCCGGGGACAAAAUUGCCUGUCUGACGGACCCACAGGUGGCCUGGUACAGGGGCAAGUGCCCCAGAACAGAGGGGGUUUUACUUGCCUGUCCUGGGGCUUUCUGGGCAGCUGGGUGGGGCAGACCCCUUGCUGCCCCUCAGAAUCUGGCAGUGCCACCUGCCCAACUUCCGCCCACACGAGGAGCGUUUCCUGUCCGUUGGGCAGAUCUGGUGCGAUCAAGGUUGCCUUGCUGAGGUCCAAGCACAGAUAAAUAAAGAGUUCUCUCUUCCAUCCUCCAACUCCCUCCUUUGCCCCUGCCUCCCCCCAGCUCCAGCCUCCUCCAAUCUGUUAUUUCCUUUUAUAUCCAAAGAAUUAUAAACAGAAGUCCUUCCUUCAAGGAAACAGCAAGAUUCCAAUCCAGGCCAGUGGGGUUGAAAGGGACUGAAGAAAUCCUCCCUGGUUCUUUGUCCUCACAGGCAGUAGAGGCCUGAGGUGAGGCAAAGGGGCAGAAAAGCUUUGGGGAACUGCCUGGACAGAGAACCAGGGAGCCUACCCACAGGGCGUGUGUCCCCAAGUGGUGGCCUGCGAGAUGUCACUGCUGUCACACAGGACGAAAUUGUAUCCCUAGGACUCAAGAGGUGUUGGAUGUUGUGUCCUAACCGCAGGGCUCACCCGGAGGAAAGAUCAGGAGAGGAGAACAGAAGCCCUAGGGAGAGGGUGACAAAGGACAGCUCUCCUCCUGUGCACCCCUGAGCCCUUGGCAGGGAUGGCAGCUGCAGGGUUUAGCAGGGGGGCGGCUUGGAGAGCUUCGUCCCCCAGGACUGUGCCUCAACUCUGGAGGGACAUUGGCUAUCUCGGGUCCCUGCUAUGGGAACGUGGGUAGGGUCCCAAGGUUAAGGCCUCUGAGUGCAGGCCUCACUGUCCUUGGCCCCCCGGCUGUGGCCCCUUUAUCCAGGGCUAAAGUUGGGACCAAUGCUCCAGCUGAAGUGCCCCACGCAGGAGCCGGAGCGGCUCCUAGCAGACAUGCCCCGUGUCACCUCGCCCUUCAUUUCCUUCUCAGGGAGAUGGGGAUUUGCCCCUUUUAGCUUCUUAGGAAGCAGCUCAAAGCCGUUCCCGCUUCUGUGCCCUUGGGUGGGCCCAGGGCAGGUGGAAAUCCUACAGGGCCAACACGGGCCUAGGUCUGCAUAGCACAUGCCCCCACCUCGGACUUCGAGCCUAGGUUUCUCUGCCUCCCGCUCCUUCCCAGGGGCACCUGGCUGCCUGAUCUUGAGCCUCACUUUUCCCCAGACAUUCCAUUGGAUAAUUUUUAUUUCUUUCUUUUAUUUUUUCUUCAGUACUGGGGA